rnacentral:rRNA from 1 species
UACAGAGGUCUCAAGCGUUGUUCGGAUUCAUUGGGCGUAAAGGGUGCGUAGGCGGCGCGGUAAGUCGGGUGUGAAAUCUUGGAGCUUAACUCCGAAACUGCAUUCGAUACUGCCGUGCUUGAGGACUGGAGAGGAGACUGGAAUUUACGGUGUAGCGGUGAAAUGCGUAGAUAUCGUAAGGAAGACCAGUGGCGAAGGCGGGGUCUCUGGGACCAGUUCCUGACGCUGAGGCAACGAAGGCCCAGGGGAGCAAACGGG